GUCGGGCAUGGUAGUGCAUGCCUGUAAUCCCAGCUACUCUGGAGGCUGAGGCAGGAGACUCACUUGAACCCAGGAGGUGGAGGUUGCAGUGAGCCAAGUUCAUGCCACUGCACUCCAGCCUGGGAGACAGAGUGAGACUUUGUCUCAC
ensembl:misc_RNA Metazoa_SRP Metazoan signal recognition particle RNA